ACAGUACAAACUGAACAGGCGCCGGUCAGUAUGGCCGGGAUGGCCGGGUCACCGAAAUGGUGUGACAGCAGAUGAAUGACAGACAUCUGUGGGACAGU
rnacentral:ncRNA from 1 species